GAAGUCGUGGCCGAGCGGUUAAGGUGAUGGACUCGAAAUCCAUUGGGUCAUCCCUGCGCAGGUUGGAAUCCUGCCGGCUGCG